GAUGAACGCUAGCGGCAGGCCUAAUACAUGCAAGUCGGACGGGAUUUGGGAGCUUGCUCCUAAUGAGAGUGGCGCACGGGUGCGUAACACGUAUGUAACCUACCUUAAUCAGGGGGAUAGCCUCUCGAAAGAGAGAUUAACACCGCAUAAUAUAUUUUUAUGGCAUCGUAGAAAUAUCAAAUAUUUAUAGGAUUAAGAUGGGCAUGCGGAACAUUAGCUAGUUGGUAAGGUAACGGCUUACCAAGGCUACGAUGUUUAGGGGAUCUGAGAGGGUGACCCCCCACACCGGUGCUGAGACACGGACCAGACUCCUACGGGAGGCAGCAGUAAGGAAUAUUGGUCAAUGGGGGCAAGCCUGAACCAGCCAUGCCGCGUGCAGGAAGACGGCCCUAUGGGUUGUAAACUGCUUUUGUACCGGAAUAAACCCUUUUACGUGUAAGAGGCUGAAUGUACGGUAAGAAUAAGGAUCGGCUAACUCCGUGCCAGCCGCCGCCGUAA
rnacentral:rRNA from 1 species